CCGCUUUCGUUGCCUAAUGGUUAGAGUGUCUGCCUUGGAUGCGGGAGGUCAUGGGUUCAAUCCCUGGAUAAUGUGGA